GGUAUACAGCUCAAGCGGUAGAGCACAUGCUUAACAUUCAUGAGGUCCUGGGUUCAAUCCCAGGUACCU
rnacentral:tRNA from 1 species